rnacentral:tRNA from 1 species
AUCUAUUUAAUAUAAUAAGUAUAUUUGAUUUCCAAUUAAAAAGUCUAUUACUAAUAGAAUAGAUA